AAUUUAAUUCAGUUUCUUACUGACAUUUGGUCCAACACCACUCGCUUAUUGGUCGGUGGUAGUGUUGUUGUUAUCGUCGUCUGUCUAUUUAUUAUCUGUAAAAGCAAAUUAACAUCUUUAUUCAACUGUCUGUCUAUAUAACGUCAAUUGACUUGACUGCGUUUUUUCUAAAGCACAAUUUUUUAUUAUUAUAAUUUUUUUGUAAAUUUUUUUUUAUAUGUGAAGAUGGUAGCAGGCUGAAAGCUGAUGUAUGACCUUUUUUCCCUGCGCCCUUUCGGUAUAAAAAAAAGAAUAAAAGGUGUACAUACCCACACACACAAUCUUUUAACAUAAAUACGCGUUAAAUAACUAAAAGUGAAAAAUAACAAUUAAAAAAAAAAUAGUACGAAAUAAUGGAACUAAGUAGAAUAAUUAAGAAAAUUGUUGUGUAUCAUAAAGAAAUUCUAAAAAGUUUUGAUUUGAAUUUUUCUACUUUGUGUCAUGUUUAAAGUUAAUUAAAAUAUUUUUGUUAAUAAUUUCCAAAGAAGGGAAGAAAAAUAGAAAAUGUUUAAUAAAGUGUUAUAGAAAUACACAAGAAUUUCUAUGGAAAGAAAAUUUUGCUAAAAGCAAAAAAAAAAAAACAAAAAUAAAACCUAUAUAUUUUUUUAAAUUUAAUAAAAAAACUAAACAAAAAAACAACAAAAUCGCACAAAAUCAUUGAUUACUAUAUUCUAUGAGAGAGAAUAACAAAAAACAAAAAAAAACAAAUUUUGCCAUUAAAUGAAGCAGAGAAAAAUUAUGUAUGUACAUUAGGAUGGUCCUAUUUGCAUAGAGUAUUAAUAAUGUACUGCUGUUCCUUCUGAAAAUAAACGUUUGGUUAAUCCCAAGAUAACAUUUCUCAACACUUUUAAUUCGGGAGCUGGUUCAAAGUAUAAAAAGAAUAGCAGUAGCAGCUAUAACAACAAAAGCAACUAAACAAACAUUAUUAACUACAUAAGAAACCACAACAAUAACAACUAAUAUAGAAACCGAGAAAAACUUACACUUUACAUUACAUACUCACUUUACUUAUAAAGAAAAUAUUAAAAUAAAAACAAAAUAAAAUAAACCGUGUUACAUUUACAUAUAUGUACACAAUCAUACAUACUCUACAUACAUAUGUACAUACUACGUAUGUAAAUUUAGAAAAUUUACA